rnacentral:rRNA from 1 species
UACGUAGGGGGCAAGCGUUGUCCGGAAUCAUUGGGCGUAAAGAGUGUGUAGGCGGUGCUCUAAGUUCGGUGUGAAAUCUCCUGGCUCAACUGGGAGGGUGCGCCGGAAACUGGAGUGCUUGAGCGUGGGAGAGGAAAGCGGAAUUCCUGGUGUAGCGGUGAAAUGCGCAGAUAUCAGGAGGAACACCGGUGGCGAAGGCGGGUCUCUGGGCAGUAACUGACGCUGAGGAGCGAAAGCGUGGGGAGCGAACAGG